CCUUGACACAGAGCUUUUUUUCCUUUGCACAGAGCUUUUUUUCCUUUGCAUUGAGGCCAACCUGUGGUCUUUGUGUUUUUGAAGCAGGGCAUCCUGAGUUGCCUAACUCCCUCUUCACACACAUUCUACUUCCUGUGGUGGGCCUUGCGCUGGUCGCGCCUGUCACGCUUGUCUCUGUGAUGCUGCUCUGCCUCUUAAGAAGUCACAAAGGUGAAGUGGAUCAUGAGGUCUCGUACACCGACGUUAUCAUCACACAGGAAGUGGAGCCCAACAGGAUCAGAGAUGUGGACGCUGCAGGGACCGUCUACUCUACUGUACUCUACAUCUGGGUAACACCUGACGGAAAACAUUAGCACAGUCUCACUCCCAGCGCGUCAAAAACAGACGCUAUGACUUUAUGUCUAGUGUGCUUUUACAGAGUUACAAAGUUCAUUAAAGGGUUUGUCUUCUGAGCAGCCUGGCUGAAACUUUUUCACAAAGCUGAGCCACUUCAUCGACGAGGGAAUGAAGGCUUAACGGUCGACCAAAAACACAGACGUCUCAGUUUCAUCGUCUGGAUAUAAUGAAACCAUACAGUUCAUUGUCUGUGCAAUAAAACAAGCUGAAACUGUGCAGUUGUGAAAUAAAGUAAAAUAAAUCCCAUGAAAGCAGACACAGUAAACACCUCCCCCGUCUGUCCUGUCUGUCGAGUUCUCAACACCAGUUUGUGUAUGGGAAUCAAAAUUGGAUGUUUUCCGUGUCAGACAUUGGUGAGAGAUUCAAUCAUUCAUUCACUUAUCUCAGAUGCAUCAUUGGUCUGUAUUUUCAGAGUAAAAAGUCAAAAUUUUGAUUAAAAUCAGGAAAUGCUCAAACAAAGACGAAGUCAUCAACGCUGAGACACUGAGGGAAAUUUUUUUAUUGUGAGCAUGAGAUACUUUGCUCGUACUGCUAACUUUAUGUUGCUAAAGUUAACCCUCUGAGGACAAAAGAUGCAAUGGCGAGUCCAGGCGACUAAAAUGUCAUUUUGGACAUAUUUACUAUUUUAUGAAUAUAUAUUGAGGUACUUUUGGGAACCCACGAGGAGACCUGUUGAACAGGACCGAAAUACAAGAAUCAAAGUCACAGUGCAGGGUAAGAAACAAGCCCGGUUCAAACAUUAGAUUCAUGACUUUUAAAGUGACUUGGAGUCUUCAAACAUCAUGACAUCAUAAAGAGGCUUAUAUUUCCCUAAAAAAAACCUGAAAACUUCACGAGAAACUCUGUUUUGUGGUUUCGUGUGAGCAGAUGAUAAGUCAGGAAAUAACAGUAAAUAAUAAAAAUGAACACGGUGCUCAAUCAGUCUUAAACAAUUUAAAACUUCAUCGUCUAUGUAUAUUUCUUGAAGAGCACUUAUCCGCCCUAGUAUUUCAAAAAAUUCUUCAAUAUGUGCCAAAAUAGUAUCUGCUGAUAAAAAAUGUUGAUCAAUUUGAACUGCUGAUGAUAGCAUGCUAUCUCGGAGCCCACCGAUGUCUUCCAUUAUGUCCGCACUCUCCCUUCGCCAGCCUUUUUUUGCCCACAGCUCUGGUCUGAAUGUGACAGAUAGCCACGCCCCCUGAUUUGCAUGUAAUAGA